AGAAAGCUGAGGGUAGAACUUAGUAGCAGA
rnacentral:piRNA from 1 species